rnacentral:rRNA from 1 species
UACGUAGGGGGCGAGCGUUGUCCGGAUUUAUUGGGCGUAAAGAGCUCGUAGGUGGUUUGUCGCGUUGUUCGUGAAAACUCACAACUCAAUUGUGGGCGUGCGGGCGAUACGGGCAGACUGGAGUACUGCAGGGGAGACUGGAAUUCCUGGUGUAGCGGUGAAAUGCGCAGAUAUCAGGAGGAACACCGAUGGCGAAGGCAGGUCUCUGGGCAUUAACUGACGCUGAGGCGCGAAAGCCAGGGGAGCGAACGGG